UGAUGGUGAUGAGGAUAAUUUUUUAGCAUGGCUUUAAAUCUCUCCCAAACUUGGAAGAGAUUUUCUUAAUCUUUUUUUCUGAAACUCAAAGUCUCACUUCUCAAUCG
rfam:Capsicum annuum cultivar Zunla-1 chromosome 3, whole genome shotgun sequence